UGGGGGAUAUUGCACAAUGGGCGAAAGCCUGAUGCAGCGACGCCGCGUGGGGGAUGAAGGCCUUCGGGUUGUAAACUUCUUUUGCUCUGAACAAGGCGCACCAUGGGGUGUGUUGAGUGUAGGGUUGAUUAGCGCCGGCUAACUACGUGCCAGCAGCCGCGGUAAUACGUAGGGCGCGAGCGUUGUCCGGAAUUAUUGGGCGUAAAGGGCUUGUAGGUGGCUGGUUGCGUCUGUCGUGAAAGCUCAUGGCUUAACUGUGGGUUUGCGGUGGGUACGGGCUGGCUUGAGUGCAGUAGGGGAGGCUGGAAUUCCUGGUGUAGCGGUGGAAUGCGCAGAUAUCAGGAGGAAUACCGGUGGCGAAGGCGGGUCUCUGGGCUGUUACUGACACUGAGGAGCGAAAGCAUGGAGAGCGAACAGG
rnacentral:rRNA from 1 species